GAGUCCCUGCCCGGGUCUUCCUGCCUCCACGUGGCGAAGCCGCACCUGAAGCCCCACCUGGUCGCAAAGGCUGGUGCAGGGGAAACCGUUGGUUCAGCUGCGGUUCCUGGGAAGGGGGUGCCGCUCUGAUCACGCGCACUUCUGAUUCCCCUCUCGGGGCUCGGAAGCGGCUGAGGGCUCUGGACCCGGUCUCCGAGGCGUGAGGCGGUGGGAGGGUCGGCGGCCGCGUCCUCCACGACCCUGGGGAGAAGUCCCAGUUUCCGCGCAGCCGACAACGGUCAGGGUCUUCCUCUGUCGCACAGGCUGGAGUGCAGUGGCUCGAUCACGGCUCACGGAAACCUCCAAUCCCUGGGCUCAAGCGAUCUUCCCUCAAAUUCAACAGUAGCUGGAACUACAGGCUCGUGACACCACAGCAGGCUAAUUUUUAAAUUUUUCGUGGAGAUGGGAGGUCACACUAUAUUGCCCAGGCUGGUCGCGAACUCCUGAGCUCAAGCGAUCUUCCCUCUUUGGCGUCCCAAAGAGCUGAGAUUGCAGGUAUGAACCACCGCACCGGGCCCAUUCUCAACAUCUCUCAACAAACUGAUAAAGAGCAUGUAAAAAAAUCUACAGCUAACAUUGUAGUGAAAUACUGAAAACUGUUCUAAGCUCAGGAGUACAGCAACGAUGCCCACUCUCACGAAUUCUAUCAAGCAUUGUAGUUACGGCCACGCGCGGCUCACGCCUGAGAUCCUAACACUUUGGAAGGAAGAUCGCUUUGAGUUCAGGAGUUUGAGACCAGCCUGGGCAAGAUGGCAAAACCCUGUCUCAAUUUUAAAAAAUACAAAAAUUAGCCAGGCAUGGUGAUGCAUGUCUAUAGUCCCAGCUACUUCGGAGACUGACACAGGAGGAUCACUUGAGCCCGGAGGCAGAGGUUGUAGUGAGCUGAGAUGGCAACAUUGCACUCCAGCUGGGGCGACAGAGGAAGGCCCUGUCUGAAAAAGAAAUUGGAAGAAACAUUAUCUACAUUUCUUUUCUGCCAUUAUUUACAGACAACAUAAUUGUCUAAGUGGGAGAUCCAAAAGAAUCUAAAUUGUUACACAUAAUGUGCGGGUUAGCAAGAAUAGUGGCUAAAAACUCAAUAUGCAAAGAUAAUUGUCUUGUCUCUCUCUUUUUUUUUUUUUUUUUUUUUUUUUGACGGAGUCUUGCUCUGUCGCCCAGGCUGGAAUGCAGUGGCUUGAUCUUGGCUUGCUGCAACCUCCACCUCCCUGGUUCAAGCGAUUCUCC
rnacentral:lncRNA from 1 species